CACUCCUACGGGAGGCAGCAGUGGGGAAUUUUGGACAAUGGGCGAAAGCCUGAUCCAGCAAUGCCGCGUGAGUGAAGAAGGCCUUCGGGUUGUAAAGCUCUUUUGUCAGGGAAGAAACGGUGAGAGCUAAUAUCUCUUGCUAAUGACGGUACCUGAAGAAUAAGCACCGGCUAACUACGUGCCAGCAGCCGCGGUAAUACGUAGGGUGCAAGCGUUAAUCGGAAUUACUGGGCGUAAAGCGUGCGCAGGCGGUUUUGUAAGUCUGAUGUGAAAUCCCCGGGCUCAACCUGGGAAUUGCAUUGGAGACUGCAAGGCUAGAAUCUGGCAGAGGGGGGUAGAAUUCCACGUGUAGCAGUGAAAUGCGUAGAUAUGUGGAGGAACACCGAUGGCGAAGGCAGCCCCCUGGGUCAAGAUUGACGCUCAUGCACGAAAGCGUGGGGAGCAAACAGGAUUAGAUACCCCAGUAGUCCCAU
rnacentral:rRNA from 1 species